rnacentral:rRNA from 1 species
GACGAACGCUGGCGGCGUGCUUAACACAUGCAAGUCGAACGGAAAGGCCCUGCUUUUGUGGGGUGCUCGAGUGGCGAACGGGUGAGUAACACGUGAGUAACCUGCCCUUGACUUUGGGAUAACUUCAGGAAACUGGGGCUAAUACCGGAUAGGAGCUCCUGCUGCAUGGUGGGGGUUGGAAAGUUUCGGCGGUUGGGGAUGGACUCGCGGCUUAUCAGCUUGUUGGUGGGGUAGUGGCUUACCAAGGCUUUGACGGGUAGCCGGCCUGAGAGGGCGACCGGCCACAUUGGGACUGAGAUACGGCCCAGACUCCUACGGGAGGCAGCAGUGGGGAAUAUUGCACAAUGGGCGGAAGCCUGAUGCAGCAACGCCGCGUGCGGGAUGACGGCCUUCGGGUUGUAAACCGCUUUCGCCUGUGACGAAGCGCGAGUGACGGUAAUGGGUAAAGAAGCACCAGCUAACUACGUG